GCUCCUCACACCGCCUUCUCAGGGGCAGACACACCGCCCACGUCCAGUGGGGGUGACUCAGGCUGUACUUGGGCCCGGGCUCCGAGCCCAGCAUCGCCCCCACCCCCUCCGAGAAGAGAAGGGUGAAGAGACCAGGCUCUUGGCCUCCAGAGCCUUGCCGCAAACCCCGGACCCGAGCCCGGCUUCCCAUCUACGAGGCGCAGGAAGGAACGCCCGCCUGGCGAGACCGUUGGCAACGCCGGGUGCCAUAUUCACGCAACGCGUUCAGCAGAGUCUGGGAAAAGCAAGUCGAGAGAAGCAGCCAGGAAGGACUACUGCAUGAAGGCAGACACCCCUUUGGUUCCCAGGGGCCGGGACCACGGGUCAGCCUGGCUCCUCUCCAGACCCUGCCUGAGGGCCCCCUGCCCAGCAGAAGCAAUGGAAAAUACUAAAACGGAAGAAGACAACCACGAGCCUCCCGUCCACGUCACACACCCUGUCCCCCAAACACACAGAGCCCGGGAUCCCACCAGAGGGGCAAGCUGGUAGUUCCACAUGCCGUCCUCAGAGGCGUCACCGACAAAACCACUAGCCUUCUCCGUGUCAAGCCCCGGGUGGACCCUCAGACAAGCACAUCCUGACCGGGGACAGCCCAGAAAUUGCAACUCAGAAAUGACCGG